GACGAACGCUGGCGGCGUGCUUAACACAUGCAAGUCGAGCGGUAAGGCUCUUCGGAGUACACGAGCGGCGAACGGGUGAGUAACACGUGAGCAACCUACCCUUGGCACUGGGAUAACGACUGGAAACAGUCGCUAAUACCGGAUACGACCUCGAAUGACAUCGCUCGAGGUGGAAAGUUCCGGCGGCCAUGGAUGGGCUCGCGGCCUAUCAGCUUGUUGGUGAGGUAACGGCUCACCAAGGCGUCGACGGGUAGCCGGCCUGAGAGGGCGACCGGCCACACUGGGACUGAGAUACGGCCCAGACUCCUACGGGAGGCAGCAGUGGGGAAUAUUGCACAAUGGGCGAAAGCCUGAUGCAGCAACGCCGCGUGCGGGAUGACGGCCUUCGGGUUGUAAACCGCUUUCAGUAGGGACGAAGCGCAAGUGACGGUACCUACAGAAGAAGGACCGGCCAACUACGUGCCAGCAGCCGCCGUAACAC
rnacentral:rRNA from 1 species